rnacentral:lncRNA from 1 species
AGUGAGAGUUUACUACAGUUGUUUUAGAAAUUAAUUCUUGAUAUUGUUUGUAAUACAGUUUCUAACUUAUUCCCCUCAAAUUUGUAUUUUAGGCUUUUUUCAAAGACCCAAAUGUUAUUCCUAAUUUGAAGUUACUUUCAGAUUCUUCUGGACAAUGGAUUACAUUAGGUAAAUAAAACAUAUUUUUAUCUUUUCGGAUGAUGAUUUUAUUAUAACAAAAUUUUGCCUUUGGAAUUUUCAUUAUUAAAAUACACAUUGUGAAUAAUGACUCACCUGUUUGAUAACAUCAAGGUCAAACAUGAUGAGCUGUGCCAGGCCUGCCCUGCGUCUUUCUCCUGGGGGCCCACUGCUCCUGUCCUGGCACGGCACAGGAGCACCAGUUCUCUUUUCAUUCAUUGGGAAAGUAUUUAUUGUGUGUCUCCCAUGGACUCUGCUCGAUGCAGGGAACAGUGAGAUGAACACAAGAAAAUCAUGCUCAAGAAACUGGUUGAUAUGUAAAAAAAAAUAGUGCGAGGGGUGCCUGGGGAGGCUGAGUCGGGUGAGCGUUCGACUUCAGCUCAGGUCAUGAUCUCACAGGAUGUGGGUUCAAGCCCCACAUCUGGCUUUGCGCUAACAGCACGGAGUCUGCUUCAGAUUCUGUCUCCCUCUCUCUCUACCCCUCUGCCGCUCGCACACGUGUUCUCUCUCUGUCUCUCUCAAAAAUAAAAACAUUAAAAAAAAAAAUAGUGCAAUAAUGUGCUACCAUAGCAGUAGGAGCAAAAGGAGGAGAGUGUCAGGUAGAGUUCUGCUGAUGUGAGGGUGUUUGAGCAAAAGCAUUCAGGGCGGGGCAGCGGAUUUCUGACCGAGGAAGUGGCCAUUCAUGGAAUGUUAAUAAAAUAACAUACAAAGUCAUGGAAGAGAGUCUUAAAAUCUCAAAAAGAAAAUUUUAUCUAUGUAAUAAUUUCAUAGUACCUUGAAACAUAGGUAGGAAUCUUUAAGCAAAAUUACCCAAACAAUAGCACUCAAAUCUCUUAAAUAACUCUUAGGUUAAGGAGUAAACCAGAGAGUUAAUAGAAGAGUGUUUUGAAAACAAAAACAUGACCACUAUAUUUUAAAUGUUAGUUUGAAGUGUGUUAACAAUAGAACCAGUCAUUCUUCCACUUAGGAGGAAAAUCUGGUUAGUAAUGUGGGUUUGUGCUUAAGAAAAAUGUAAGUGGAUUUUAAAUUAGAUGGGGUUGUUUUGGUAAAUUCCUACAUUGCAUGUUCAUGGAAUUCUAGUAGUCUUACACAAAAAUGACUUUGCCGAAAGUAUUACUCAAGAACGAGAUUUGUGACGUUAGAAUCAGUAGGUCACAUUUUAUUGCUUUUGGCUAAAAACCACUGUAAAAUUUAUAGAGCAAAAAGCUGGUACAGGGUGAUCUUCAGAAUACUUUCAGAGUUAGACUGACUCUCUGAGCAAAUGUACUUACAGGUUCAAAAUCUUCAGAAGGAAAUAAUCACAGGCACGUAGCAAAGAGUUUAUGAAACUUUUACAGUAACUUCAGUCAAUUUUACAAAAAUAAGGUUCGUUGAAAAAAGUUCAAUCUUCUCCCGUACUGACAAACAGUACUGACUUUUUUCUGAUUUUUAAAAAACGCAUUGCAAGAAGAGAGGUUCUAAAAUUCCACAUGUGCCUGGCAGAAUCCAUUAGAAGUACUCUGAAAAAUUGGGCAAAAGAGGUAGCACUCUACUUCAGAAGUAGAAGUUUCUAGGGGAUUGCUGUACUCUUCCAUUAGCUUGUUUUGUAUCUCCUACCAGCUUUUCUGUUUCUGAUGUAUCAGCCGUCUUCUCUCCAAUUUUCCUCUGAGGGCCAGCUGUUAAAAUAAACAGCUUUUGAAAAUGAGAGAAAAGGCAUUCUUGUAGCAAGUGAACCAGUGGUAAAGAGUGUGGUGAAGGAUCCCCCUCACUGCUGCCCUCGCCUGGGCCUGGACUGCCAGGGCUUUCUGCCGCGGUCCCUGUCUCCCAGAUGCUGCAGCCCUCCUCAUACAGACACACUGUGCCCUUUUUUGGGUGACAUAUAAUGGAUACUUCCUAUGUGCUUAGUUAAGGGCAUUAUAUUCAUUACAUCCUUUAAAUGGCUUUUUUUUUCAAUUCAUUUUUGAGAGAGCGCAAGAAAGACGGCAAAGAGAGAGGAACAGAGGAUCCGAAGGGGCUCUGCGCUGACAGCAGCAAGCCUGAUGUGGGGCUUGAACUCACAAGCCACGAAAUCAUGACCUGAGCCAAAGCGGUAUGCUUGACUGAGCCACCCACAUGCCCCCAUUACCUCCUUUAAUUCUCAGACCAACUCAGAGAGGUAUUAUUAUAUGUCCCUAUGUCCCAAAUGAAGAGUCAGAUUCAUGAGCUAAAUAAUUUGCAGUUUUGCACAGCUGGCCGGACUCCAGAAUUCGAGGUCUUGACCACUACACUAUCCUGUCUCUGCCAUUUCAGCAUUAAUGAAGUUGUCAGAAAACACCAAUUUGGACACCAAGUAAAUAGACACCUGUGUAUUAUGCUAAUAUCAAGGGGAAAAAAUACAUUCUUAACUUUGUAUGUGAUCAUAGCAGUGCAUCACAUGUCUUAUAAAUGGUGGAGACAUGAUUUUACCAUAUUUUCUGCCUAACAGCAUGUGCUAUGGACUCAAUUGUGGCCCCCCGCCCCCCGCCAAGUUCUUACGUUGAAGCUUUAACCCCCAAUGUUUUUGUAUUUGAAGAUGAGGCCUGGGGCGCCUGGGUGACUCAGUCGGUUGAGCGUCCAACUUCGGCUCAAGUCAUGAUCUCGCGGUUCGUGGGUUUGAGCCCCGUGUCGGGCUCUGUGCUCACAGCUCGGAGCCUGCAGCCUGCUCCGGAUUCUGUGUUUCCCUCUCUCUCUACCCCUCCCCUGCUUGCACUCUGUGUCUCUCCCUCUCAAAACUAAAUACAUAUUUAAAAAAAAUUUUUUUUUAAAGAUGAGGCCUUUGGGAGCUAAUUAGGUUUAGACUACAUCUCAAGCAGCCCUUCUGAUGGGACGAAUGCCCUUACAUCAAGAGAAAGAGAUCCCAGAGCUCUCUGCCAUGUGCCGACAGCCAAGAAGGCAGCCGUCUGCAAGUCAGGAAGAGAGCCUUUACCGGGAGCCAAAUCAGCCGGCGCCUUGGUUUUUGGGCUUCCCAGCCUGCAGAACUGUGAGACAUGAACGUCUGUUGUUUAAACCACCCAGUCUGGUAUUCUGUGAUAGCCGCCUAAGCAGACUGACAGAUUUUGGUCCCGAGAAGUGGAAUGUUUCUGUAACAUGCCUAAAAAGGUUAGAAGUGGCUGUGAAACUGCAUCACGGGUGUUGGUGGAAGAGUUUUGAGGUGCAUGCUAGCCCAGAUACAUGGAUGUUAAGCUUGAUUCUAGUGAGGUCUCACACAGAAAUGAGGACCUUGUUAUCAGAAAGUGGAGGAAAGACAAUCCAUAAAAUGCCUGAGAACUUGGCUGAACUAUGUUCUGGUGUUGUGGGGAAGGUAGAAUUUGCAAGUGAUGAAAUUAUAUAUUUAGCUGGGACGUGUCUAAACAAACUAUUGUAGGAGCAGCUUGGUUCUUCCCGAACGUUUGUAAUAAAGUAGGAAAGGAAAGAGACAGAUUGAAGAAGGAUUCGUUAAGGAACCAGAGCUUGAAGAUUUGGCAAAUUCUCAGCCUUUUCAUAUCGUAAAAAAUGAGAAAGAUUCUUUUGAAGAGAACAAAUAUGGCUGGGCAACCAUUUGAUAAAGAGAGCAUGUGUGUAAUUCAUGGACUUAAUCAGCCAUUUCAACAGAAGCCAGAGUUACACUGGGGAUUGUACUGGCAAAGACACUGCCGGUUUGAACUAAAGGGGACAGAAACGAGACAAAAUGAAGGCUGUCAGACCUCUUAGAUCCCACGGGACCAGACGAUAGAGCCAUUUGGCUGACACAUGGCCGUUCUGCAGGAGAAGAGAAGAAGGACUAAAAGGCAGUUCAGAGAUCAUCUUCUUGUCCCUUUAACCGAGGGCCACCCUCGGUUUCAGGAACACACUGUGCCUUUUGGGGGAGAACCUCAGAGGCUGGGCCACCGCCCCAGCGGGUCUGGAAGACAGAGCAUUGAACCAAAGAUGAUUACUCUUGAGGCUUAAAGUCUAAUGAAAUUUGCCUUGCCAAGUUUAGGCUUGCUUGGGACCAUCACCCCUUGUUUUCUGUUUCUCCCUUUUGGAAUGAAGAUGUCUCUCCUCUGCCUGUCUCACUAUUGUAUUUGGAAGCAUGUCGCUUGUCUGGAUUCACAGGGUCACAGAUGGAGAGGAAUUUUGCCCCAGGAUGAGGUGUACCUCCUUCUUACCCAUAUCUGAUUUAGGUGAUGUGUAGGUGAGAUUUUGGACUUUAGAUUUUAGCAUUGAUGCGGGAAUGAGCUAAGACUUUUGGGGCUGUUAGGAUAGAAUAAACACGUUUUGCAUGUGAGAAGGACAUGAAUUGGGGGUGUGGGUACCAGGGGCAGAAUGCUUUGGACUGAAUUGUGUCCUUUCAGAAUUGAUUUGACAGAAGUCCUAACCCCACCCAUGACCUCAUCUAACCCUAAUUACUUCUCAAAGGCCCCAUCUCGAAAUACCAUUACAUUGUGGUAUUUCAAUAUAUUAAUUUUGGAGGAACACAGUUCAGCCCUCGCAAAUGCUAUUUCUGUGCCUCGGAGUACGUGGUUUGAAUUUAAUUACCUUAUCUUACCAACCCAACCCUCCUGCCACUCCCUAAAUCAGAGCUAGAGUCAUUUAUUAGGAUGGCAUGUUGCCGGGGGGCCUGGGUGGCUCAGUCAGUAGAGCAUCUGACUUUGGUUCAGGCCAUGAUCUCACGGUUCGUGGGUUCGAGCCCCGCAUCGGGCUCUGUGCUGACAGCUCGGAGCCUGGAACCUGCUUCAGAUUCUGUGUCCCCCUCUCUCCCCGCCCCACCCCUGCUUGUGCUCGGUCUCUGUCUUUCAAAAAUGAAGAAACAUUAAAAAAAAUUUUUUUUUAAAGAAUGGCACGUUGCCCAGUGUCAGUCCCUCAUCCUGUGGCCACCAACCCGUCUUUGAAGACCGUCUGGCUCUGUACUGCUCUAGUUCUUUGUUCCUGCAGCGCUCACAACUCUUCUGUCACUUUCUGUGGUCUCUUGUCCCUUUAAUCCCCCACAGGAUUUUUUCCCCUGAAACAAAAGGAGCUUUUCCUAGAAGUGUAGUUUUUGAAAUUACUGAAGCAUACACAGUUCCUGUCUCCAGACGCCCACUGCGCGUCCACACAAGGCCAGCUCGAGCCCAGAACAAGUGGCAGGUGCUCGCAGGACUCCAGGUGGGCAACCAGUAGGACAAAGCGCAGAUCAUCACCAGCCUCACUCUUCUCAAGCUCGAGCUGCUUCCGGCAUAAAUACCGAACAAGCGUAUCAGGGAGAGGUCACACCAAGGGCCCCCACACCUCGGUGUGCCGUUCUAGGGAGAACUUUGAACAAAGACCACCACCUCUUUAUAUCUGAGUGUGUGUGUGGAUAUGAGUGCAUGAGAGAGAAAUGGAAAGAAACUGAGGCAAUAAUAAAUAUUCAUUUUAGUCUUUGUGUCUUUCUGUAAUUGAGAAGAACCUCUAGUAACGGAAAAUCCAUUCCUAAAGGACACGUUUAGGAAGUAAGUUUGGGCUGGGGAAGGUAUGCGGGGAAAAACUCGAGCUACAAGACGAAAAUAGACAAAACAUCAUGGUCACAAAUUUCUCUAAUUCCAAACUUGUCAUAACUUGAUUAGGGCCUGGUUUGAAACUUACCUUGACUUGGAAAAGCUGGUUUUGGGUCAUAAACACUGUAAAUGAGAUCACAAGGGAGAAAUUGCUUAUUGGAGAGAAGAAUUUUCAAGACAUCCUCAGGACUUUACAAACAGCCAUUACUUAACAUUAAUUAAAGUUUUUGUGAUACAAAUUAUAAAGCAUUGAGCACAAUAUAAAUCCAAAGUCACACAAAGCCGUUCCAAUGCUUUUAUAGGCGAUUCUGAUAUGUGGAUUAAAACUGAUGUAAGAAUCCCCUACUACACGAAAAAUGAUUUCAUUUUCAGACAUUUUCUAAUUUACAUACUCUAGGGCUGAAAUGGUGAAAUUUUGUCACAGACUUUUAGUGAUUAAUAAAAAUGAACAAACGGCAAACUAAGAAUUUAAUAAGAUCCCUAAUGUGUCCUUUAAAUAUACCAAAAUAUAUGCCCUAUUUGACUACUUAGAAUCCCUGCAUUGUAAUAUUUGUUUUGGAAAUAAUUGAGAAUAAUAAGUUUCUAUUCUAUAAAAUUUUUUUCAGGAUCUGAAGUGAAAAAAAUUGAAGCCACAAAUGUUCCUUGUACACAGCUUUCGAUGUCAUUUUUUCAUCGGUUAUAUGAUGAAGAUAUUGUACGCGAUGAUGGACAUAUCAUUAAGUGUUUAGAUUCUUUUUGCGAUCCCUUUCCUAUAUCCGAUGAAUUACGAAAAGUAAGUAUAGAUUUUUAAAAUUUCAUAAUAGAAUUUUAUUUCAGGAAAUGCUUAAUGUCAAAAACCUUUACCUAUGUAAAAUACCUAAAACACCUUUUAUCAAUUAUUAAUGAUCAGUGACAUCAGUUACAUUGGUAGAUUUUUUUCUUGGACGGGACUUUUACUAUCAACUGAAUUAUCUGUGUAUUUCAGUAGUUCUCAACCAGAUGCUACUAAUAGUCAUGCAUAGAGGCCAGAGAUGUUGCUAAACAUCAUGCCGUGGGCAGGACAGCCCCCUACAACAGAGUUCUCUGCCCCAAAAUUUCAAUAGCGCUAAGGCCGAGAAGCCCUGACCUGCUUAAGUCAUGGCUAUUUUUCUUCGAAAUGGGGCUCUUAACAUAUCAAAUGACUAUUUAAAAAUAUCCCUGUUGUAAAAGAAUCGUUCUGCCUCACAGCUGAGAUCAAAAAAGCCAUUUUAGGGGCACCUAGGUGGCUCAGUCAGUUAAACGUCCAACUCUUGGUUUCGACUCAGGUCGUGAUCUUGUGGUUUGUGGGUUCGAGCCCCACAUCGAGCUCCACACUGACAGUCUGGAACCUACUUGGGAUUCUCUCUCUCCCACCUGCCCCUAUCCCUCCCCUACUCACCCUCUCUCUCUCUCUCUCAAAAUAAAUAAACUUUUUAAAAAACCUUCGAUUAACUAAUUUUUUUUUAGCAAGAGGUGUAUUGAAUCAGAAGACAUAGAUUAUUUAGCUAAUUCCUGAGUUAUUAUUUAUAAGAUAGUAACUAAGCAAAUCAUUCAAUAUCUUGAGCCCCAAGAUCUUAUCUGUACAACAUAGAGAUUAAAAUUCCCAUUCUAUCUUGUUGAAACUGUUGAGAUAUGAGUUGAGAGAGCAUUUAAAUAUACUUUUUAAAAAGUGUGACAUGUUAAAAUGAAAUGCAUUAUUAUCAUCAUUAUUUUAUUUAUAGAGAGAGCAAGAGCAACUGGGAGAGAGGCAGAGGGAGAGAGAGAGCAUCUCAAGCAGGCUCCAUGUUCAGCACAGAACCCAACACAGGGCCCCAUCUCAUGACCUAAUCCAAAAUCAAGAUCAUGACCUGAGCCAAAAUCAAGAACCGGACACUCAAUUGACUGAGCCACCCAGGCGCCCCUUAUUAUCAUUAAAUUAUGGAGAUAAACUGUUUACCAAAUGGACAAAAAUUAGGGCUUUUAGGGGCACCUGCAUGGCUGUCGGUUAAGCUGCUGACUUCGGCUCAGGUCUUGAUCUCGUGGUCCGGGAGUUCGAGCCCCGCGCCAGUGUCUGUGCUGACAGCUCCGAUUCUGUGUCUCCCUGUCUCUCUGCCCCUCCCCUGCUUGCACUCUGUCUUUCUCUCUCUCAAAAAUAAGUAAACAUUAAAAAAAAAAUUAGGGCCUUCAGGGGCUCCUGGCUGGCUCAGUCGAUGGAGCGGGCAACUCUUGAUCUCAGGAUUACGAGUUCAAGCCCCACAUUGGGUGUAGAGAUUAUUAAAAAAAAAAUAAAGCUUUGGUAUCAAAUAGACAUAGAUUCAAAUACAGGCUCAGCCACUUAAUAACUGUGGUACUUAGCCUCAUUUUUUCAUCUAUAAAAUAAGAAUGAUGCAAGAAUCAUGUGAGGGGCCCCGUGUUGCUCAGUCGGUUAAGGUCAUGAUCUCACAGUUCAUGGAUUCGAGCUCUGUGCUGACAGCUCGGAGCCUGCUUGAGAUUCUCUGUCUCCAUCUGUCUGCCCCUCUCCCACUCGACUCUAUCUCUCUCUCUCAAAAAAAAAAGAAAAAAAUUCUGUGAGAUAAUGCACUUAAAGUGUUUAGCCCAAUGCCUAGUAUUUAGUAAGCUUUCAGUAAUAGUAAUGACUAGCCACUAAUUACUAUUAUUCUACAUUUAGGAGAUGUCGCUAUGUGUAAGUUGAAUAAGGAGAUGCAUAAGUUGAAUUUAUUGUAAAUCCAGAUGGGCAUGACCUAGGGAAGCCCCUGACACACCAUUCUGGACAUAGACAUCUUGUCUGUAGGAGACCGGAAGGCAUCCAGCCAGUCUCUGCGUUCUUCUACACCAACAGAACACCUGAAAGAACCCUUAGUUGAAGAAGACAAUCAAACUACUCAUUGAGGAUGUCCAAACACAUAACUGAGGAGACGAUAUAUAGUUGCUCUGUAGUUAGGUGGUAUGUAUUACACAAGAUAAGCACCAUACCUUGGGGAUCUGAUAAUAAUUUCUACUCUUCCUUACCAAGGACUGGAAAUUAACCUCUACAAAGUGUCUAGUCUAGUCCGGGUCUUCUUCCUUUUGGGGCACUAUGUCAGCUCUUCUUAUCUGUCCCCGAUCUCUGCUGGCACAUGUACCUCUCUACCACAAGGCCCUGUCCCCUAAUUUCAGAGAGCUCACCCUCACUUAUACUGAGAGCAUUGGCAACGGACUUUUCGAGAGACGGAUGCGCCUUCUCUGCUCUGCUGCUUGUCGUCUGGUUUUCUUUUUUUAAUUUUUUUUUAGAAUUUAUUCAUUUUUGAGAGAGAGAAUGAGGGAGCAUGAGUGGCAGAGGGGCAGAGAGAGUGGGAGACGCAGAAUCUGAAGCAGGUUCCAGGCUCUGAGCUGUGUGCUGACAGCUCAGAGCCCGACGCGGGGCUCAAACUCACGGACCGGGAGAUCAUGACCGUCGGACGGAAGGAAGUCGGACGCUCGACCGCCUGAGCCCCCCAGGCUCCCCUCUGCUGCUGGUCUUCUUUACUUCCAUGCGUAGCCCUUGAAUUCAGGAAGUACCCACACUGUUUUUCUGUCGCCCCGUGGCGACAAGCAAGGUGUUAACUUGGCUGCUUUCUGGCUGAAAAAAUAAAUCGAUAAAUAACCUCCAGCCUUAGCCUGAACUGAAAAGGGCCCUCCGCCAUGCAGCAGCACCGAGCCCGUCACACCGCCUCACCGAGGCCUGCCGAUAACCACCUUCCGCAGGCGGCUCGCAAGUCUGGCUCCUUAACCACAUGGCACACCUCCUCCCUGAGGGCCCCACGUGGAAGCACACGGGGAGAUCAGCCGCAGCUGGGUCCCGCUUCCACAUUUAUUCCCCAAAUAUUUUCAUUUCUGUCAUUUUUACACACGCAGCCUAAUCAGUUCAGUAACCAGAGUGCUCAUGCGAGGAAUGCGUUCGUUCGUCAUUCCUGAGAGCUUUAGUCGCUCUUGUGUUAAGCCAGAUCUUUAGGUAGCUACAAACUCAGGCUUCAAUAUCACAUCAUUUCCUUAGAGAGAGAGAGAGAGAGAGAGAGAGAGAGAAGGAGAGAAGCAGGCAAGGAGGGGAGAUGGGCCAAGCCGUAUGUGUGGCACACCCAGGGAGUGAUAAACCGUAAACCACUUCCCCUCACCUUUUACUGCAUGUGACUUUGGCUUUCAUAAACUCAUUGCAAGUAACCUGCACACUGGCAACACCACAGAGUUUAUUUUAAGUGCCUUUUUUAUGCUGACCUUGUGAUGAAUAUUCAUUUGAGAUUGGGGUAAAUCAAAUGUGAAGCUUGAUCAGGUUUCCUAAUUUAAGUGCACUUCUUGCUACUAGACAGUGAUUUUGUAUAACUCCUAUUUCCCUCCUUUACCUGUUUGGUAGUGUUAGUGUUAUGUACAAUUUUUACAGCAUUCCGACUCCUUGUUGUGUUUUCUUUCCCACUUUGUUUCUUGGUUACAGGUUUCUGCCUUUUAACUUUUCGUACUGUGUGGGUAUUUUACUGUUAGCUACUUCACAUUCUUUUUACAAGCAGGUGGAGUAUAAACAACUCAAUAAAAGAAAUGUGUGUUAUGGUUUACAUUCGUCACCUUGUUCGUAUCUACCACAAUCGAGUCAAUCAGUUGUGUGGAAUGGCCAAUGGUAUAAGAAACCCUCCCACGUCCGACCCUGUCGUGCUGUUUUCUGAAAGAGGUGGUGAAGUCUCCAGAGAGCGAGAGUCAGUAUAGAUGGGCGAUGGGUAGGAUGAUAUUAUUAGGGGACAGCAGGAAAAGAGGUGGUUAUGAUGGUCCACUUACCUGAAUAGUUCAAAAUGGAGUAAUGGGGGUGGGCCGGGGCAGGGGUGGUAAGGAAAGUGGUCAUCCAGAAGUGCAGGGGUAGGGCUUAGAAAAUGAGGGCCAGCUUCCAGACUGAAGCAAAGGCUACAGACCUUCUGGGAUGGGGAAGUUUCUCCAUUUAUUUAUGGUCCCUUGUUUCCAAAUAAGAUUUAAGGUGACUCAGCACUAAAAUUGCAGUAGUGCUAAAACCAUUACUAAAGAUACAAAUUAGAACAAAGGUAUAAAGGGGAAGAGGAGAAGAUUUAGAUUUAUUCCUUUAACUGAGCAUCAGUACCUAAAGGUAACAUGGAGGGAAAAUGAGUGCAGGUCUCACCGAUUACUCUUUCUGGUUGUUCAGGAUUGGUUGUUGACAUAGGCCUAGGAUUAUUUGUAAGUUCAUAAAUGGAAACUUUUGAAAACAAAAAUUGGAGCCUUAAAUCAUGUUAGAUUAAGAUGAAUUUUAUCAUUCUCCAUAGGUUUUGCUAGUGGAAGACUCAGAAAAAUAUGAAAUAUUUAGCCAAGCUGAUAGAGAAGAGUUCCUGUUUUGUCUUUUCAAACAUCUUUGCCUUGGUGGAGCCCUUUGUCAGUACGAAGAUGUGCUUAAUCCAUAUCUGGAAACAACAAAGCUUAUCUAUAAAGAUCUAGUGAGGUAAUGGUGCUAGAUUACAGUAGGUAAAUCUCUGGUUAACGGAGUGCGUUGUUUAACUGUGCUGGGCUCGCCUAGCGUCUGUCGGGUCCUGUUGACGCCAACCACCAAAGCGUGUGAGAACAGCACCGCUUCGAACCCCUUUUCCGGCCUCUCCCUUCUCGUCCAGGUUGGGACACGGUCACAUCUCCCUGACUCUCUUUAGCACCCAGUUCCCGGUUCUCAUCUGACUGUGCUUCCUUCCCCAUCCAACGGAUUACUCGCUCCAUGCCUGCUUAGCGGCUGACUUAUCCCAGAUCUUCUAUCACAUUCUCCCCAGGUUCCUGUCGUGCUUACCCCAGGUCUUCUGUCACACUUAUCCCAGGCAUCCUGUCACAUUUACCUCAGAUCUCCUGUCACACUUACCUUAAGUCCCCUGUCACCUCACCCCAGGUCUGCUGUCACAUCAGUUUCCUAUCACACUUAACCCAGGCUUCCUGUCACACUUAUCCCAGGCGUCCUCUCACAUUUACCUCAGAUCUCCUGUCACACUUACCCCAGGUUCCUGUCACAGAUACCUCGGUCUCCUGUCCACUCACCCAGGUCUCAUGUCACAUUUAGCACAGGUCUCAUUUCACAUUUACCACCAGUCUCAUGUCACCUUUACCCCAGGUCUCCUGUCACAAUUACCCCAGGUCUCCUUUCACAUUUACCCCAGGUCUCCUGUCAUAUUUACCCCAGGUGUCCUCUCAAAUUUAUUUCAGGUCUCCUGUCACCACAUCCCAGGUGUACUACCCUUUUACCUCAGGGCUCCUUCACACUUACCCAAGGUUCCUCUCAUACUUACCGUAGGUCUCCUGUCACAUUCACCCCAGGUCUGAUGUCACUUUUACCUCAGGUCUCCUGUCACACUUAUCGCAGAUCUCCUGUCACAUUCACCACAGGCUUGAUGUCACUUUUACCUCAGGUCUCCUAUCACACCUACCCAGGGCUCCUGUCCCAUUUACCACAGGAAUCCUGUCACACUUACCCCAGAUGUCCUGUGCAUUUACCACAGGUCUCUUGUCGUAUUUACCCCAGGUCUCCUGUCACAUUCACCCCAGGUCUGAUGUCGCUUUUACCUCAGGUCUCCUAUCAUACUUACCCCAGGUUCCUGUCACACUUACCCUAGGUCUCCUUUCACACUUAUCCCAGGUCUUGGGUCACACUUACCCCAGGUCUUCUGUCACACUUACUUAAGGCCUCCUGUCACACUUACCCAGGUCUCCUGCCACACUUAACCCAGGCCUCCUGUCACAUUUAUCCCAGGCGUCCUGUCACAUUUACCUCAGAUCUCCUGUCACACUUACCUUAAGUCCCCUGUCACCUCACCCCAGGUCUGCUGUCACAUCAGUUUCCUAUCACACUUAACCCAGGCUUCCUGUCACACUUAUCCCAGGCGUCCUCUCACAUUUACCUCAGAUCUCCUGUCACACUUACCCCAGGUUCCUGUCACAGAUACCUCGGUCUCCUGUCCACUCACCCAGGUCUCAUGUCACAUUUAGCACAGGUCUCAUUUCACAUUUACCACCAGUCUCAUGUCACCUUUACCCCAGGUCUCCUGUCACACUCACCCCAGGUCUCUUGUCACACUCACCUCAGGUCUCCUGUCAUGUUGGCCCCAGGUCUCUUUUCACACUUCUCCUAGAUUUCCUGUCACACCUACCCCAGAACUCCUGUUAUACUUACCCCAGGUCUCCUGUGACAUUUACCCCAGGUCUCUUUUCACAUUUCAGGAGAACACAAGAUUCCUCAGGUUGUGUAAAUUUGCUUGACUAAUAGUAGAACAAUUACCUUUUUUGUAGAGAGGUGGAAAGAUUUUUAUCUAGGCAUAAACUUUACAUUUUUAAAUUAAUUCUAAAUUCCAGGUUUGCUUAGGUGAUCCACUAGUUCUGUUUUUUCUCUUUGAAGAUCUAAUUGGUAUAAAAACGUUAUAAUCAUUUAUUUAUACUUGGGUUGGGCUUUUCAGUGAUGAAGAUAUUGGAUCAUGUCUGUAGGCAAAAGGGAUAGGAACGAGUAAAAGCAGAGUUUACUUACAAAAUUUUGCUUUAAUCGGAAAAAAACAGAAUUAGCUUGUCGUAAAACUCUCGAUCGUUACUUGCACUCAGCAUCGCAAAUCUCACUUCUGCUCUGUGUGUCAUUCAGCUGUGUGACAACUACGUGAUGUAGUUAUUUCGCUUCAUUCUUUUUCUUAUAUAGUUUUUUUUAAGUUGAUUUAUUUUGAGAAAGAGAGAGAGAGGGUGGGGGAGGAGGAGAGAGAGAGGAGAGAGAGACUCCCAAGCAGGCUCCUCGCUGUCAGCUCAGAGCCGGAGGCAAGGCUGGAACCCGUGAACCGCGAGAUCAUAACCUGAGCCAAAACCGAGAGUCAGACACUUCACUGCUUGAGCCACACAGGGGCCCCUCUGAUACGGUUUUAAAAACAAAAAUUAUUUCUUUAAUUUGCCUCCGAUUUUUGUGGAAAAGUUACUCUGCCAAUACAUAAAGAUUGUCCAAAAAAGUGUUAGAAACAGAAUUUGAGAAAAGCAUAUACAUACUCACAUCCAAAACAUUCUGUCCUUAUAUUCAGCUCGUGAAAACCCGUAGGCCUGCUUCCAGCACUCCCUGCAGAUACUCUGUGGUACACCUAGUCUCUCACACACACACACACACACACACGUGCGCGCACACCGCUGCCACGACAUUGUGUUGUACUUCACUGGCCACACGAACGUGUGGGAUUCGUCACCAUCGUGUGCUAUGCGAGAGGAGAUUCUGCUGGAGGUGUUUGAAACAGAAGUAGCUUUAGAACCUAAACACUGGAGAAACCGUUUUCCCUGACCUCCCCUGUCCUGGAUUCUCACCUGUGACUCUCCUCCACGCUGCUUGGGUGCUAAGUGACACUAUGGCUCCAGGGUCAACGGCCACUGGUCAAAUGAGUGGCCAAAAUUCACGGCAUCCAACAGGAAGAAGAGAAUCACGCCCGCAGAAUCCCUUAGGCGGGCAACCGACGAGUGUUAAUACUGUGCUCAGAGCUCCGCCAGCCUCCGAAGAGACUACAAGAGGAGCACCAGACAGCCCUCGACCUUAAGGAAAUUAUGAGAAACUAACAUAGUAAGUGAUAGUUUAGAAGGUUUUAUAAGGAAAAACUGUUACGAAAUCCGAUGUUCGAUUUUUUAUAGGCAAAUGUUCGCAGCUCCUGAUGCUGUAAUAAGUACCCCAGGAGUUGAAAAGAGGACAUUAUUAGGGUGGCCGUGUUAGGGAAGUCUCGAUGCAGUGGGGUCCCCAAGAGCCGGCAGAGAGGGCAGCCCGUCCCCUGUCCAGGGGAGACACGCACGUCUCCAGUCUGCCAUUCCAGGGGACGCUGAGAAGGAACCAGCCCGAUUACAGCAUUACUCUUACUUGAGAACCAUUAACUGUUUCUCACGAUGACCCGAGUUGAAGCACGCUGAGGAAUUUCUCUGCUAAGUGCGGAGGAGAUGUGAGGUUGUCUUCCCAAAACAGCUUUAGAAGAAAAUUACGAUCAGGAUGAGUAUUCGCUUAAGAUGGCUGAAGGGCCAGUGCAAAGCAACCGAGUGGGCUGGCUGGUCGGGGUCCCUCCGGAGCCCUGCCGGUUUGCUGAUCUCUCGCGCCGCCUCUGGCCUUUCUAGCUGGUUGUGCUGAUGUGGGUCAGAGGCGGUGGCACUUGGUCAAGGUGAGGGCGCGGGGUGGAUCGGCGUCGCUUCUCGGGAGGAAUGCACGUGUAGGGGAAGCACCCGUGGACCCCCAGCAGUUGUCAGUACCUUGUCAUCCCGAGCCACAUAUCCAGACAAGUCACUUGUACAGGCCGAGUUAACCGGCAAGGGUAUUGUUUUUCCCUGCCCCGUUACUUGAAUUUUGGGCGCGUACCCAUCUUUCAGGAGAACGUCUGCUAUCUUUCUAAUUGUACACGCAGUAGCUGCUUUCCAUUAUCUAACCUGCCCUCGCAGAGAAACGUCAUCACUAAUCUGCUCCAGAAAAGACGUGCAUCCCUUAUGUGUGUCCGUGUUGGAGGCGCGUCACAGAGCUUGAUUUUAGUGGUCUCUGGCUCAAACCAAAGGGUGAGAACAUUCUGAAGAUAUGUUUUCCCUCAUCCGUUAUUACAAGUCCCAUAAGAUACCCUUUUGAAACGUUCUGGAAAGUGCCUUUUCAAGGAUUAUGGUUCUUUUAAAUAAUAUAGGUAAUACUUCAGAGUCGGUUCAUUGGAGAGUAAAUAUGACCAGUUGUUUCACUACAUUUGAAAAAUGUCUAUGCAGAAAUAAUUCUGUAGUUACUAAUGGAAGCCUUUGUCUUUUCUGCUGUCAAUAUUAAACACAGGCUCCGAUCAAAGUUUUUGGAGAGGUUUUCCAAACUGCGUACCUGCCUGAGAUGUGAAAUUUUAUUAUUUAAACCGUGAGGCUUAGAUUAUGGCCCUCAAAUGCUAAUUAAGCAGUGGGAUUCUUAUUUCUUUUUUUUUUUUUUAAGUUUAUUCAUUUAUUUUGAGAGAGAAAGAGAGCGGGAGAGGGGCAGAGAGAGAGAGAGAGAGAGAGAGAGAAUCCCAAGCAGGCUCCGCACUGUCAUCACAGAGCCCGACGCUGGGCUCAAACUCCAGAGCUAUGAGAUCAUGACCUGAGCUCAAAUCAAGAGUUGGUCACUUAACCAACUGAGCCACCCAGGAACCAACUUCUAAUAAUGUUCAAAUGGUAGUUUCUUCGGUAAGUAGUACACUACAGUACAUGUAUGUGUUAAGUGAUUGUUAAAUGAAGUGUCAAACACUAAAUUUUCUUCUCAGUUUAUUUGGUAAGUACAAACUUUUACAAGGGUUGGUCUAGGUUGUUUUUGUUUUUGUUUUUAACUGGGCUAAUUUACAUGCAGUAAAGUGAACAAAUUAUAGUGGACCUACAGCUUAGUGAAUUUUUAUAUAUUUAUACCCGUAUCACCAUCUCCAGAUCAACACUUAAAAUCGAUAUAACCAUAGGUAUGUUCUGUAGUUCGGUUUGGGUGGUUAUGUAGGUGUGUGCAGUAUAAAUGUUUUAUAUGGAGUGACUAUAGUUACCCCUUGGAUAAGCACAGAACUUCAAAUAUAGUCUUCAGUUUUUAAGCAGUAUAUGUUAAGUGUUUAGAGAAAUAAAAUGACCUUAAUCCAUGUCGUAGAAGGAUGUGAAAAUUAAUUGCAUGAUUUCUGCAGAUAAAAGCUGCCUAAAAAAAACAAAAACUGCCUAAGAACUUUUAACCCUGACAUGGCUCAGGUCUGCCCAUUCCAGUAGGUGCGCAAACACACACACACACACACACACACUGGACACAGUCCCCCUUCAUUCUCCUCCUGGCCCACCUCACUCUUUCAUACGUAGUGAAGGAGAAAGAUGCUUGCACCUAGUGAAGUGAGGAAGGGGCCAGCUUCCUUUCAAUGUGACGUCCCCCUGUCACCCAGGAGGACUGCCUGUGGUGCACAUCUGCUGGAUUGGAGGCAGGGAUGAGCGGUUGAGACCUAGGGAAAGGACCUGGAUGGACGCUGUGUCACCUGGAGUCUGUUCCCAGAAAUACCACUUUCAGCUGGAAUGUCUUUAAUGUCUCGUUUAACUUCUCUGGCCCUACUGUCUCUAAACCUGGUAAAGUCGUGCCCAACAGCCUCAUGGAGCUGUGUGGUCUUUAUAUGGAGGAAGUCACACGAAGGUAUUUUGCAGAUGGUAAAGCAUUAGGAAGGGAACAUGUGUGCAUCGCUCUCUGUAGCUUGUUCCUUCCCUCUCUGUGCUUCCGCUCUGUGCUGCCGCAGGGAGUCUUGUGGGGGAGAGUAACUGAAAGAGAGGUACUGAAAGAAAAUAAUUUUAAUAUGAUAUAAUUUAAUAGUACAUAAUUUAGCGAAUAGUUUUCAUAUGCCUUAUCCCACUCGAUUCUCACAUAAUUCUAAAAAGAACCAUAGUGUGCCCAGUUGGCGUGUGAGGAAAUUGAUGUUCAGAAAGGUUAAUCUUUCCCAAAAUGAACCAACAGAUCAGUGCCAGAGCUGGCGUGUUGUUUGCAUUGUUGAAUUCUGUAGUUGCGCCUUUGCCUACCCCUUACCGCUGCCUACACUUCAGUCGGACUUUUAUCAAUUCUUAUUUUUCUGAUCAUUGUCUCUGGCUUGGGAAACAUUCAUCCUGAGUCUCGGUCAGACCUCAGAUAUUCUAACUGUAAAAUUACGUGUUCUGCAGUUCUCCAUCCUGGGGUAAAACUGCGGGUCCGUCCUUUUCAAACCAUUUGAGUCGGAUAUUGUGUAUUUCUAUAUUAUGUAUGCAUAAGAACACCUGCAGACUAAACGGAUCAGUAUUCUAAAUGUAUUAUGCCAAACACUAAAAAAAAGGCAGGGGGUGUGGGGGGGUGCCUGGGUGGCUCAGUCAGGUAAGCGUCUGACUUCAGCUCAGGUCUUGAUCUCACGGUCUGUGGGUUCGAGCCCCACGUCGGGCUCUUUGCUGACAGCUCAGAGCCUGGAGCCUGCUUCGGAUUCUGUGUCUCCCUGCCCCUCUCCUGCUCAUGCUCUGUCUCUCUCUUUCUCUCAAAACUGAAUAAACAUUAAAAAAAAUGUAGGGGUACCUAGGUGGCUCAGUUAAGCGCCUGACUUCAGCUCAGGUCAUGAUCUCACGGUUCGUGGGUUUGAGCCUCGCAUCGGGCUCUGUGCUGGACACUUGCUGGGAGCCUAGAGCCUGCUUCGGGUUCUGUGUCUCCCCCUCUCUCUGCCCCUCCCCCACUCAUGCUCUCUCAAAAAUGAAUAAACGUUAAUAAACAAAAAUAAAUGUAUUGUGUAAAUGCUUGUUAUAUUUAAAAUGUAUCCCUUCCCCCCCCCCAUUUUAGUGUUCGAAAGAAUCCUCAAACCAAGAAAAUACAAAUUACCUCUUCCAUCUUUAAAGUGACGGCAUACGUAAGUGUUGAAGGGGAAUUUGCAACCAAUCAAUUUAAUUACUGGGUAUUAACAGGGUUGUUACAAUGGGAGUUAGCAACUAGUGCAAUGUUAUGUCUAGGAGAAAAGAUGAUGGAUGAUAUUUAGUGUUUUUGUCAAAAUUAGAAGUUGAUAAGUUACGCUUUUAUUUGGAGGGCCAAACGUCCCCCCUGGCCUCUUUUCUGUUGUCCCUGUCUAAUAAUAGUCCGUCCUUAUUUAAGAGCGAAAUGUGUGACUCAGAUGCAGUAGAACACAUUCUCUAGCUUGUCGAACCGUAGCUUCUAGGGCAGAUAAGUAAGGAUGUUGUAAAUGUCUGUAUAUCACAGAAUCUGAUGCUUGAAUUCUAGUGUCAUAUAAAAGAUUGUUAGCACAUUUGAAGCAGUUUCUAAGUAUCUUUAUUCAAUCACUUAACAAAUACUGUUAAGUGCCGGUUGUGUAUCCCCCGCUGUGUUGGGCAUUUUGUGGUGAUAAAGAAAAGAAACAAAGUUGCUUCCCUCAUAGUAUGUAAAGAUCACAUUCUAAAGGAAAGCAAAGAUAGAAGAAAAUUGCAAGACAAAUUUUUGCAAUAUUAGCACUUUAAAAGCACUUUUUCAAAAGAGAAGAUUUCCUUUUAGACUAGAAGUUCCUUAAGGUCGAGAAUUAUGUGCAUUUGUAUUGUACAUAUGUACUGUUGCCCAGUAGACUGCUGUCAGUAAAUAUUUUAAAGUAUCAGUUAAUUACCAAUUUAAUUGUCAGAGAUUUGAUGUAAGUUUCAUGACAUUUUAGCAGAAAAUAUAUAGUAGUUAAAUAUGUUGAUUAUUACUUACAUGCAGUUGUAGACUAAAUAACCUAGGUUUAUCUUUUUCAGGAUUCCGCUGGCAUGUGCUACCCUUCAACAAAGUCUCACGAACAGACAUUUUCUUACUUUCUUGUGGAUCCGAUCAGGCGUCAUGUUCAUGUUCUAUACCACUGUUACGGUGUGGGGGAAAUGUCUUAACAGUAUUCUCUCAGAUUAUCGAUUUUACGGUUUUUACCAAUCUUUUACUUUGACGUCAUUUUAUAGGUAAACAUCUCCUCUGCCAGUUAAUUUAAGUAAAAUGUAGAGAAGCCGCAUAGAACAGAAGGACACGGUACAAGAUGCCUGUCUUUAAAUUUGCCUGGAGUGGUAGCAUAGGGACCGAACUCCAUCCCUACCACGGUCUACACCAAUAUAGUUGUGGACAAUUUACAGAAAGAUACAAGGAACUAAAAAUCCAGUCCGUAUUUGUCGCAUUAGGAUUCAAGUAAGGCCUCGAUUUUCCACGUAUUUUAUUUUAGAAGCUAAUUAAUUUUAGCUUGAAACUGUGGCAGAAAACUGACCAUCUCUCCACUGAUCAUUAUUAUCAACUGUUAGCUUUUCAAAUUUGAGUUUCAUUUCAUUGCAUUUCUUCACUGCAUAAAGAUUUACACGUCCAGGGGUGUAAAAUGCAUAACAAUUCCUUUGCUUCGUUUGUCCCAGUUAAAAUCCUCAAUAAAAAAAGUCAUGUUCUGAAAGUAAUCAUGUUCUGAAGUCUUUUAGCACAUAAUAAAUUACCUCUGCGGCUG